rnacentral:rRNA from 1 species
CCUACGGGUGGCAGCAGUGAGGAAUAUUGGUCAAUGGGCGCGAGCCUGAACCAGCCAAGUCGCGUGAGGGAUGACUGCCCUACGGAUUGUAAACCUCUUUUGUAAAGGAAUAAAGUGAGGCACGUGUGCCUUUUUGUGUGUACUUUAUGAAUAAGGAUCGGCUAACUCCGUGCCAGCAGCCGCGGUAAUACGGAGGAUCCGAGCGUUAUCCGGAUUUAUUGGGUUUAAAGGGAGCGUAGAUGGGUUGUUAAGUCAGUUGUGAAAGUUUGCGGCUCAACCGUAAAACUGCAAUUGAUACUGGCAGUCUUGAGUACAGUAGAGGUAGGCGGAAUGCGCGGUGUAGCGGCGAAAUGCAUAGAUAUCACGAAGAACUCCGAUUGCGAAGGCAGCAUACUAAACUCCCACUGACAUUGAUGCACGAAAGUGUGGGUAUCAAACAGGAUUAGAUACCCGUGUAGUC